rnacentral:rRNA from 1 species
UACGUAGGGUGCGAGCGUUGUCCGGAAUUAUUGGGCGUAAAGAGCUCGUAGGCGGUCUGUCGCGUCCGGUCGUGAAAACUUGGGGGCUUAACCCUGAGCUUGCGGUCGAUACGGGCAUGACUGGAGUUCGGCAGGGGAGACUGGAAUUCCUGGUGUAGCGGUGAAAUGCGCAGAUAUCAGGAGGAACACCGGUGGCGAAGGCGGCCAACUGGACGAAUACUGACG